rnacentral:rRNA from 1 species
AUGAACGCUAGCUACAGGCUUAACACAUGCAAGUCGAGGGGCAGCAUAACGAAAGCUUGCUUUUGUUGAUGGCGACCGGCGCACGGGUGAGUAACGCGUAUCCAACCUUCCCUAUACUAGAGAAUAGCCCGGCGAAAGUCGGAUUAAUGCUCUAUGUUCUUCUUUGAUGGCAUCUGACGAGAAGCAAAGGUUUACCGGUAUAGGAUGGGGAUGCGUCUGAUUAGGUUGUUGGCGGGGUAACGGCCCACCAAGCCUACGAUCAGUAGGGGUUCUGAGAGGAAGGUCCCCCACAUUGGUACUGAGACACGGACCAAACUCCUACGGGAGGCAGCAGUGAGGAAUAUUGGUCAAUGGGCGAGAGCCUGAACCAGCCAAGUAGCGUGCAGGGAAUGACUGCCCUAUGGGUUGUAAACUGCUUUUAUGCGGGAAUAAAGUCAGGUACGUGUACCUGUUUGUAUGUACCGCAUGAAUAAGGACCGGCUAAUUCCGUGCCAGCCGCAGC